AUUGAACGCUGGCGGAAUGCUUUACACAUGCAAGUCGAACGGUAGAGGGGGCAACCCCUCGAGAGUGGCGAACGGGUGAGUAAUAUAUCGGAACGUGCCCAGUUGUGGGGGAUAACGUAGCGAAAGUUACGCUAAUACCGCAUACGAUUUAAGGAUGAAAGCGGGGGAUCGCAAGACCUCGCGCGAUUGGAGCGGCCGAUAUCAGAUUAGGUAGUUGGUAGGGUAAAGGCCUACCAAGCCGACGAUCUGUAGCUGGUCUGAGAGGAUGAUCAGCCACACUGGGACUGAGACACGGCCCAGACUCCUACGGGAGGCAGCAGUGGGGAAUUUUGGACAAUGGACGCAAGUCUGAUCCAGCCAUUCCGCGUGCAGGAUGAAGGCCUUCUGGGUUGUAACUGCUUUUGCCAGGGGAUAAAAGUACCUUGCGAGGUAAAUUGAAGGUACCUGGUGAAUAAGCCACGGCUAACUACGUGCCAGCCGCCGCCGUAA
rnacentral:rRNA from 1 species